rnacentral:tRNA from 1 species
GCUGGAAUAGCUCAGUUGGUAGAGCAGAGGACUGAAAAUCCUCGUU